rnacentral:rRNA from 1 species
AUGCAGGCCUACCUGCAAGAGGCGGAGCAGUUCAAGGACACUGACAAGACCACCGCGAUCUUCAUCGGCAAGAUCAGGGGCCUCGCCUUCCAGAUCGAGGACGUCGUCGACGAGUUCAACUACAAGCUGGAGGACUGCAAGCACGGCAGGUUCACAGGCAAGAUGAAGAAGCGGCUCAAGCAUAUCAAGACCUGGCGCCGCCUGGCAGCCAAGCUCCAAGAAAUCGAAGCCCAGCUGCAGGAUGCCAAUCGAAGGAAGAAGGAUUAUGCCGUCACCGGCAGAUCUGCUUCUGCUGCUAGAUCGACAAGAGAAGGUCAAGCUUUGCACUUCACCAGGGAUGAGGACCUUGUUAGGAUCGAAGAACACAAGGAGGGGUUGAUACAGUGGCUGAAUGGAGGUGGUGAUGAUCCGGAGCGGAGCAGCAGCAAAGUCACCAUGGUGUGGGGGAUGCCUGGUGUUGGUAAAACCACUCUCGUUGAUCAUGUGUACAACACCGUGAAAGCGGAUUUCGACGGUGCGGCGUGCGUAACUGUGUCGGGGAGUUACCGUAUUGAGAAUCUACUAAAGAAGAUUGCCGCCCAGUUCAACAUCACAGUCGAUGUCACCACUGUUGAGAUGAGAGGCCUAGCAAAAUCCAUCCUUAACUACCUUCAAGGUAAAAAGUACAUCUUGAUACUGGAUGGUGUUUGGGAUGAGCACUUGUGGUCGGAGAUAAGGGAUGUCUUCCCAACAUCUAAUUGUACCGGCCGAUUUGUUAUCACAUCAAGAAAGCAGGUUGUGUUGGCAACUAGGGAGUCUGCAUAUGCAAUUCACUUGGAACUGCUACAAGAACAUUACUCCUGGCUGUUAUUUACCAAUGAAGCCUUUGGGAAUGCUGAUGACAAAGAGUGCCCGUUGGAGCUGCAGGAAUUGGCUCGGAAGUUCAUAGCAAAGUGUCAAGGCUUGCCUAUUUCUAUUAGAUGCAUUGGCCGCCUACUCUCCCUGAAACCCCCAAUUUCCGCUGAAUGGGAGGAUGUGUACAGGGGUUUGGAUUUACAGAUGGCGAAAGAUGUGAUCCCUGAUGCUCAUAUGAUCCUAAAGGUCAGCUUGGAGGCCCUUCCAUACAAUCUGAAGAAUUGUUUCAUACAUUGUGCAUUGUUCCCAGAUGAUUAUGUAUUAAAGAGGAUGAAGAUGAUCAGGCAGUGGAUCGCGGCGGGGUUUAUCUGGGAAAAAGAUGAUAGCAAAACAUUGGAGGAAGUGCCAGAGGGAUACUUGGUUUAG